AAAUAGAGAGGAGAAAGGGGUUUUAUUGAAUUUUCUUCUUUUCUUCUCAUCUUCGUCCGUUGGUUUUUCUUCCUCUCAUCAGAGAUGCGAGAGUUUGAUCUGGUGUUCCGUCGAUUCUAUAACUGGCAUUAAUCUAUGGUUGGGGAUACGUAACAAGGUUUUCGAUUUGGGGGUUUAUGAAACUAGGGUCCUUAUAUAGAAAAAUGGAGGACUUUUGGAGAAAGGAUUUGAUUCAUAUAGCUCAUUACUCUUCAAACUUGACUUGGCUUUCAAGCCCUAGCAAUUGCAUCUAAGUAUUAAGGGGCUUAGAGUUGAGAAAUCAUAUGGUUGCUACUGAUGUUGAGUUUUGUUGGAUGGAAAUGUGAUUAAGGGGUGAAUGAAUGUUGUUUCAAUUCAAUUUGUGGAUCCAUUCAAAUGCUAGUAUCCUAAAAGUGAAAAUGAAUACGAUCAUGAGCGUUUUGGGAGACAUCUCAAUUGUUUGUGUUUGGGGUACCAUUUUGAUGUUGGUGAUGGAACUGGUGGUGCAAAGAAAGUCAAUUGAGUGGAGGGAAGUGCAUGUAUAAAAGGGUGAAGAAAAAUAGUAGACUACUACCAGGAAGUGCACAUCAGAUGUUUGACAGAAUUUCCAAGAGGAAAAACGAAGUUCAAUUGAGAUUUGAUGAGUCACUCGCAUUCUUUAACCACUUGAGGUAGGCAGUCUAAUGUUUAUUUUAUUCUUUUGUAACAUUAAAUUUUUAUGCCUAUUGUGCGAGCAGCCUAUUUACCAUAAAAUGAUGGCAUAUUAGUCUUGUUAGUUUCAUUUUGUGCCACAUGAAACUCCCAUUUCGUAUUUAGAAGGAAACUCACAGUUAGGGUGGUAGAUGAAUCGAUUUUGAUUGCUCGUUAAACAGUUAAGCUUGGACCAAAUUUGUAACUGUUAAAGGAAUAGUGUAUAGAGGUUGUUUGCAUGCUAAGUUUACACUAUUAAACCUCAUUCUUAAGCGUUUCGCACAGCCUAUUAUUAGCAUAUAUCUACCAUCCAAAUAUUUAAAUUAAUGGUUGAAAAUGUUCAAUUCAGGAAAUCCGUAAUUAAUUACAAUCUAAUGUAUAGCUAGUUACUCUUAGAUUUUACUAACAUUAUGUAUGGGAUUGCCUAUGGAUACGAUUACGGCAGUGCAUGGUGUGAGUUUUGAACUGUGAUUCUUAUUGGUAUUGCCGUUGUUACCACUACUAAAUGAAUCUGGACAGUUUAACCUUAAAUUCCAUUUCUGUAGUUUUAACUUGGGAACUGAUGACUGUUUGCAAUGAAAUUGGUUUUACUUGUAAAUUGUCAGUAUUCCCUUUUUCUUGUGGGAGCACACGAUAUUAGGGUGCUAAGUAAAUUCUAAGUAAAUUCCUUGUUUGUGCUAAGUAAAUUCUUUGUUUGUUUUGAGCACACGAUAUUAGGGUGCUAAGUAAAUUAUAUUUUUAUUUGAAAUGCUUAUUAUGAACAUCGACUUUUUACUGAUUCCACACUUAACUACUACCAUGUGCAAGUAUGAGGCUCGGCUAGCGUACAGUUUCAUUUAUGGUGGACAACAUUUUAGCACUACUCUUGUAUCGUGUAAAUAUUUUCAGUGAUUCCUUGAAAUUAUAGGAAGAUUAGUUGUGUAAAUAUUUUUAGUGAUUCCUUGAAAUUAUAGGAAGAUUAGUUUUGAUUAAGUACCUAACCGUAUUCCAUAAUUUGCAAGUCCUGUAUCGGCGUUUCAAAUAUGGUUUAAUAGUUUCUCAUUUUCACCGCCGUGUACAAAUUAUCCGUUAUGUAGCUCCCAAUCUACGGCUGGUUGGAUUUUUUUUUUAAAUGCGAGCAAGUUAUGCAAAUACGGACUGUGAAUUGUAAAAUAGUUAUAUAACAUCCGCUUGACUGUGCUAACUAUUUGGUCCACAUUCUUACUGCCCUAAAAUAUUUAUAGAAAUGCAUUUUUGUUUCUUAUAAAUAGGACUUAAUUAGCUUAUGGUUCUCAUGUGUGGACUGAGACGAGAAGACUAGAAUUUGAAAAUGACAUCGUGUCAGAUUAAUGUGGUAUGACUGGCUAGUCUAAAACUGUUAGCUGUGGGUAUCUUUUGAACUUAUGUAUUGUGGAUACUUUCCAAAUAAGGUUGUGUUAGUUGGAGGACAAAUCAGUACGUCCUUAGUUUCGGACUAAGGGUAGUCCUUCUGCUGUAUUAGUUCUUUUAUGACUACAACAUAUUAUGGUCUAUCGUCUUGUAUGUUUUGAGGCAUCUUAUCGUCUUAGCUAGUAUGCCGGUAUUGUAAUUUCAUUAUGACUGCUAGGUCCCGAUAUAUAGGUUGCCGGUAUUGUAAUUUCAUUAUGACUGCUAGGUCUCAAUAUAUAGGUUUUGAUGUUGGUUAGCGUAUGGUAGACUGGUUAAUAUUAUUUUUGGCCAACUACUGCAAUGACGACAAUCAAGUGGUAUAGGGAGUAUCCUAGCUUGUGGAGUUCCUUGUUUGUCUUAUAUAAAUGUGUAAUACUUGGAAUAUAAGUUGAUAUAUGUUCCAUGUUAUUUUGCUUUGGUUCUUUGUAAUACUUGGAAUAUAAGUUGAUAUAUGUUCCAUGUUAUUUUGCUUUGGUUCUUUGGCGCGAUGGUAUUUUUAGCAAUGUGCUUGAUAGGGUUGUUUGAUGUUUUAGUAAAAUGGUUCUUAAUAAAGCAACUUUGGCUAGCAUGGCUAGCUAUCAAAUGAGCUGUUUUAUUCUACCAAAGAAAAUAACAAAAAAAAAUUGAUGCACUACAAAGAGAAUUCUGGUAGGGAAAGGAAACUAACCACAGAGGUUAUUACCCAAAAUCUUACUCUUGUCUUUGCAAACCCAUGAGUAAGGGGGAUUAGGAAUUAGAAAUGCACAUAAGUUCAACCUAGCAAUGAUAACAAAAUUAGCUUGGAGAUUGUUAACUGAGCCAGAAGCCCUUUGGGUGACACAAUUUAAGCCUAGAUACUUCAGAAAAGCCUCAGCUUUCUUAGCUAAAACCCCAUCUACAAGUUCUUGGAUUUGGAAGUGUAUUAGGGUAUUCAUCUAGUUGAGCAAAACAGUAUUUGGGAGAUAGAAAAUGGUAAUAGUACCAAUAUAUGGGAGGAUAGAUGGAUACCCAACUUGGAAGUCAAUCUUAGUGCCUUUAGAACUAUUAAUAACUCUCACUUAACACUUGUGAAGGAUCUUAUUGAUCCAAUCACUAAGAAGUGGAACUCUCCUCUAAUAUGUGAAUUGUUCCCAGAACACAUUGCUAGGAAAAUUAACAACAUCAGAAUAGCUAUAAACAAAAAAAGACACCCUCAGAUGGCUUCUUACCAACUCUGGCAUCUUCACUGUUAAAUCUAUGUAUAAUAAGCUCAAUGAAAUCUAUGUAUAAUAAGCUCAAUGAAAGAACAAUGAACCACUUCAAUUUAGGACAGCCUGACUCUUUUUGGAAAAACUUAUGGAGUCUUAAUGUGUCUCAAAUGAUCAAAAUAGUUUCUUGGAAGUCUUUACAAAAUGCUAUAUAUACAAAUCUGAAAAUUAUCUAAAUUCAUGUAGGAUAUCCAUCCUAACUGUUCCUUUGGUUGUUUCCUUUGGUUGUCAAGAGCAUGAAUCUAAAGAACAUCUAAUGCUUUUUUGUCCUUAUGCCAAGACUGUUUGGGCAGCUGAACCAUACUCAGUUGAACUAAACUUAGACAGCACUAUUACCUUCUUAGAUAUUUGCAAGUAAUGGUUAGGAAAAAAAGGACCCAAUUAUACCCAUAGAAAUCAUAUUGACCAAAGCUUGGUUCAUCUGGAAGGAACGAUGCAAUAGACCAUUUGAAACAAAACAACAAACUAGUUCUCAAUUAGCCUUAGAAAUACAAAUAUUUCUAGACUUCUGGUAUAAGGAUAACCCUUCAUUCAGAAAAAUCUCAACAGACAAUUGAAAUUCCAAAGUGGCUACAACACAAAAGAAACUUAAUAUUGAUGUUGCUUGAAUUUCUAAAGACAUGCCUGCAGGUUUUUCAUUAAUCUUUAGAAAUUAUGCAGGAAAGUUUGAACAAGGCAGAGCAGGUUCAGUCACAACUUCUUCCCUAGAAGAAGCGGAAGCUCUAGGAAUGCUGCAAGGAGCUAACUGGGCGUUACAAAGAAGAUUCACAAAUUUCAGUGUGGAAGGUGAUUGCAAGAACCUGUUUGAUUAUUUGAAUGGGAAACCAUCUCAAAUUUCCAUGCAGAAUCAAGCUAUUAUGGACGAAGUUAAAAGAGUCUUUUCUGGUUGUCAAAACUUGUUGUUUUUUUUACAUUCCUAAACAAUGUGGCAGAUACUCUUGCAAAAGAGGCCAAAACUUUCCUUAACUCUGUUGAUUGAGUCAAUGAUCCACCUAUUCG